CAAUAGCGUAUAUUAAAGUUGUUGCAGUUAAAAAGCUCGUAGUUGGAUUUCUGAAGGUGGUUGGAUUGGUGUGACCUCGCGUUGCCUCAACCAUACUAUUUUCAACAUAUGCGAUGAAUUGGUGUGGUUAAUUAAGUUUGAUCCGCCAUUAAAUCGCUCGUUUACUUUGAGAAAAUUAGAGUGUUCAAAGCAGGCAUAACGCCUUGAAUAUGUUAGCAUGGAAUAAUAGCAUAGGACUUUGGUUCUACUUGUUGGUUGUUCGAGAACUGGAGUAAUGAUUGAUAGGGACGGUUGGGGGCAUCCGUAUUCUCAAGCGAGAGGUGAAAUUCUUGGACCUUGGGAAGACGAACAGCUGCGAAAGCGUUUGCCUAGGACGUUCUCUUUAA
rnacentral:rRNA from 1 species